UUGCUACAAGAAAUGGGCAGAAAAAUUGUUCGCACACAGUCUCUUGACAAGCCUGGAAAACGAGAAUUUCUGGUUGAUCCAGAUGAUAUUUGUGAUGUACUCAGUGAAGGCAUUGAUACUCGAAAUGUAUUAGGUAUAUCAUUGGAUACAAGUAAGAUUGAUGAUCAGUUGCUUGUACAUGAGAGAGCCUUCAAAGGGCUGC